CUCCCUGAUACCUUCUUAAUCACUGCGAAAAAAAAUAUUCCCUUUUCCCCGUGUAAUCUUUCUUGCAUCACGCAGGGAGGUUGUGAAUUUGGCUACCCACUUCACAUGAUUUUCCUCCACUACUAGUUGCUGGCAGAGGAGAGAGAGAUAGAGAGAGAUAUAUGAGAUAUGUUUUAUCAAUCGUAAUUCUGCAUACCGUAUGUGAUGAGUGCAGUAUUACCUGGAAUUUGCAGCCAUGGUUGUUUAUGUGUGUGUAUAUGUAUGUGUGUGUGUGUGUGUGUGUGUGUGUGUGUGACAAUCUAGAAUCACACACAAAAGUCUACCAGUGUAUGUUUUAUGAGUUGUAUUUCUGUAUAUGUGACGAGUUCAGUAUUACCUGGAAUUUAGGAGCCAUGGUUGUUUGUGUAUACAUGUGUGUGUGUGUGUGUGUGUGUCUAGAAUCACCCAUGAAAGUCUACCAUGUAUGUUUUAUGAGUUGUAUUUCUGUAUAUGUGACGAGUUCAGUGUUACCUGGAAUUUAGGAGCCAUGGUUGUUUGUGUAUAUAUAUGUGUGUGUGUGUGUGUGUGUGACAGUCUAGAAUCACACACAAAAGUCUACCAGUGUAUGUUUUAUGAGUUGUAUUUCUGUAUAUGUGACAAGUUCAGUAUUACCUGGAAUUUGCUUCUUCGACUCAUACAAACAGGAUGCUUGUACACCAGGUCACUGCUCGUAAGCCAAGGCAUUUUUAGUGAUUUUUUUUUUCCUCGUAAAUCAAAACACUCGUAAACUGAGGUAUUGCUGUGUUUGCAUGAAUAACAUAUAGAAUGGCAAAUCUGGAUAAUUAUUGAUGACAUUCUAUUAUAGUGUUGCUAGGUAUUGUAUUCCUCUUAAUAAUUAUCAAAAUACCUCAACUAUUUUAUUGUGUCGCUAAGUAUUCCGUUUUUUCAUCAUUAUCAAUCCAUCAAACUAUCUCGACAUUUUAUAUUGUUGCUAAGUACGUAUUGCAUUCUUUUUUUGACAAUUAUCAGCAUAUCUUGAAGGUCUCUCGGCACAUCAAGGGCCAGAUAUGUUGAUAAAGCACUCGUCGAACAAAAGGCCCAAGAGCACCGUGCACAAGUUCAGCCAAAUCAAGUUCAAACAGAAGACAUGAAAGAACUUGGAGACUUUCAUAGCUGUUUUAUGUAGAAGGAAAGGUUUUAGUCAAGAGGUUGGAUAGAUUUAUGAACUUUUGGAUAUCAGAUGGUAAAUAUUACGUCUUCCGGAGCACAAGUUCAGCCAAAUCAAGUUCAAACAGAAGACAUGAAAGAACUUGAGACUUUCAUAGCUGUUUUAUGUAGAAGGAAAGGUUUUAGUCGAGAGGUUGGAUAGAUUUAUGAACUUUUGGAUAUCAGAUGGUAAAUAUUACGUUUCCGGAGCACAAGUUUAGCCAAAUCAAGUUCAAACAGAAGAUACGGAAGAACUUGGAGACUUUUGUAGCUGUUUUAUGUAGAAGGAAAGGUUUUAGUCGAGAGGUUGGAUAGAUUUAUGAACUUUUGGAUAUCAGAUGGUAAAUAUUACGUCUUCCGGAGCACAAGUUUAGCCAAAUCAAGUUCAAACAGAAGACAUGAAAGAACUUGAGACUUUCAUAGCUGUUUUAUGUAGAAGGAAAGGUUUUAGUCGAGAGGUUGGAUAGAUUUAUGAACUUUUGGAUAUCAGAUGGUAAAUAUUACGUCUUCCGGAGCACAAGUUCAGCCAAAUCAAGUUCAAACAGAAGACAUGAAAGAACUUGGAGACUUUUGUAGCUGUUUUAUGUAGAAGGUAGAAGGAAAGGUUAUAGUUGAGGCUUGAGAGGCUGGGCAGAUUUAUGAACUUGAGGAUAUCAGAUAGUAAAUAUAAAAUCUUCCGGAGCACAAUUUCAUCCAGUUCAAGUUCAAGUAGCAGAUAUGAGAGAAAUAGGAAAAAUUCUUAGGUGUUUUUAUAGAGAAAGAGUAAUGAGAAAGCCUUGCCAAAUGUGCGUGUCUUAGGUUCAUGGUACAGAGGGAGAGUCACACUACCAGAAGGGUCAUAAAACUACCCCUGGAAAUGACCAUAACUCCUACGAAAGCCUUGCCAAAUGUGCGUUUCUUAGGUUCAUGGUACAGAGGGAGAGUCACACUACCAGAAGGGUCAUAAAACUACCCCUGGAAAUGGCCAUAACUCCUACGAAAGCCUUGCCAAAUGUGCGUUUCUUAGGUUCAUGGUACAGAGGGAGAGUCACACUACCAGAAGGGUCAUAAAACUACCCCUGGAAAUGGCCAUAACUCCAACGAAAGCCUUGCCAAAUGUGCGUGUCUUAGGUUCAUGGUACAGAGGGAGAGUCACACUACCAGAAGGGUCAUAAAACUACCCCUGGAAAUGGCCAUAACUCCUACGAAAGCCUUGCCAAAUGUGUGUGUCUUAGGUUCAUGGUACAGAGGGAGAGUCACACUACCAGAAGGGUCAUAAAACUACCCCUGGAAAUGACCAUAACUCCUACGAAAGCCUUGCCAAAUGUACGUGUCUUGGGUUCAUGGUACAGAGGGAGUCACACUACCAGAAGGGUCAUAAAACUACCCCUGGAAACGGCCAUAACUCCUACGAAAGAAUGAAGGUAACUUUGACGUAACGAGGCUUCCUGCUGGUUUAAUAACGAAGGGAAUAUUAUUUAUCUAUUGAGGUUUGAUGUUUUAUAGAGGUUGGGAAAGCGAGCCUGUGGGUGAGUCAGUCUUAUGUAAUGUCUGAUAGCUGGGAGAUUUCUUUUAUCAGUGAAGAAACAAAUGAUUAGAGUAAUAAACUGACUCAACUGACUGACUGAGGUUUGAUGAAGGACCGAGAGAGAGAGAGAGAGUUACGUUAGUCAGUCAGCCAGUCAGUCAGUUAGUUAGUGAGUUUGUUAGUUGGGUGAGUAGAUGGGUAGGUCAGUGAGAGAGAGAGAGUGUGUUACGUUAGUCAGUCAGUCAGUCAGUUAGUUAGUUAGUGAGUUUGUUAGUUGGGUGAGUAGAUAGGUAGAUCAGUGAGAGAGUUAGUCAGCCAGCCAGCCAGUCAGUCAGUUGGUGAGUGAGUUCGUUAGUUGGGUAGGUAUAGAUAAGUAGGUAGUUAAUGAUACUCACCGCUCACCGUUCAGAUAAGAAAAUAAACAGGUGACCCACUUAAUACUUAUGAGAGAAGAGACCCUGAUAAGUGUACUACAGUGUCGCCCUCUGCUUCAAAAGUUCGAAUCAGGUUUGAAACACGCCCGUAGAACACCAUAAUACAAGUGAUGCGCGUGUAGUUAAUCAGCUAACAUAGACAGACUUAGACUAACACAUGGACAAGUGCACGUACGCCAGUAGAACACUAAUAGAAAUGCGAAGGGGAAUGAGAAUGAUAAAGAAAGGGAAAGGAUGGAAAGGGAGAAAGGACGCCCCCCCCCCCCUUUACAUCUACUGGUACGCCCCUGCUACUACUUAUACCAAAAAAUCAUUCGGAUACACAGAGAUUCGAAACCGUAACCGGACAUGCAUACAGAUUGACAGACAGAGCAGGCAUAGGCAACAGACACGACUAUCAUGCACACAAAAGACAGCCAAGCGGGUCGGCAGAUAGAUAGAUAGAUGGAUAGAUAGAAACACACACACACUCACACACACACACGCACGCACG